GAAGUUCUUAGUCUUUUUAGACAUUAAAUUGUCAUAUCUCAAAAUACUGUGUCUACCAAAUUCUCCAAAUAAGGAGCAGAAUUCCUUGACUCAUAUUUUUAAGUAACUAUUAUCUUUUGUGUACAACGCACUGUGCUAGGCACAACAUUAUACAUACACCAAUGAGUAAGGCAUGUCACAUUUUUUUCAAUGAGUGUAUUUGCAAAGCAGCCCACAGACAAGUAUACCAAUGGUUUAAAAAACGUAUUCCCGAAAUGUUUUUCAAAGAACAUCUUGCUUAAGAUGAUAAUUUGGAAUAAAGCAAAACAUAAGAAAACCCACACACAAAACAGUUCUGUCAUCAAAUAUUUGAAGAAUAAUGCUAUAAAAUAAGAUAGAAUAUA
rnacentral:lncRNA from 1 species